GCCAGUAUGGCAUAGUGGUUUCAGUAUUGAGCUAUGAAUCUAGAGACCCUGGGUUCGAUUCCCUGCUCAGCCA